rnacentral:rRNA from 1 species
UACGGGGGGAGCAAGCGUUGUUCGGAUUUACUGGGCGUAAAGGGCGCGUAGGCGGCCAGCACAAGUCAGUUGUGAAAUCUCCGAGCUUAACUCGGAACGGUCAACUGAUACUGUGCGGCUAGAGUGCGGAAGGGGCAACUGGAAUUCUUGGUGUAGCGGUGAAAUGCGUAGAUAUCAAGAGGAACACCUGCGGCGAAGGCGGGUUGCUGGGCCG